rnacentral:lncRNA from 1 species
GCCGCCACCACCCUGCUUCCCUUUGCUUUGCGCUAUGCAAUGGCUGCUGGGUUGGGUGGCAGAUGCCUGAGGUGAACCCCUGGGGAUAUAGCUGGGCGUGCUGUCCGUCCAUCCACCCAUCCAUCUUUCCGUCCGUCCGUCCGUCCGUCCAUCCAUCCAUCCGUCCGUCCGUCCGUCCGUCCCCGGGCCGCCUCUCCGCGGAUCAGCCAGCAAGGGGCGCUGGGCGGCGGGUUUGCGGGGCGGCGGGUUUGCGGGCUGCGGAUCACCUGCAGCAGCGGGGGGGCCGGGAGCUCCGCCCUCCCCCCCCCGCCGUUAAUCGCAUCCCCCUCCCCCUGUGCCAGGCACUGGCACUGAGGCGGCCGAGCCGCUCCGAGCCGUGCCGAGCCUCGCCAACCUGCUGCAGGCGGGCGGGCACCCGCACCCCGCUCGCAGCCGGGGCCGGGCUGGGGCUGCCGCCUCCGCCAUCCCCGCACUUGCCCCAGCCCGGUAGGGCGGCCAGCCUUCGGCCGCCUCCUCCUCCUCACCGGCAGCCACCGCCGCCGCCCGGCAGAAAGACAGAGCGGGGGAGCCAUGGCCGAGGGGGGCGAGGGCGAGGACGAGAUCCAGUUCCUGCGAACUCCCGCUCCGCAGCAAGGUUUCCGCUAACUUGCGGAGCGCCCUCCUCGCUGAGCACGGACUAACCCCUUCUCUGGUGCGGGCAUCCCUUCCGUACGCCUGUCUUCUUCAGUCCCGAGCACGUCAAGCGCUAGAGCACUUCUUCCCCGAGUUUAAUUAAUACGUCGGGACUGCCGCUUUUUACGCUUCUCGGGGUUAUUUGUCUUCUAGCGACGCUUUUAUUUACCUGCUGGGCCAUCUCCCAAGUGCCGCUUGUACGCACAGCCCCAGCAAGUUUUGUAGAUGGGCAUAUUUGCAUGGUGCUGUACGCACGCCCUGUCACAGCUUUUGGAAAAAUUGCUGAGAUGUUUGAUAGGGUGAUAUAGAGACACUGAAACCAUGUGGUACAGCUCAUUUUCCUUUUUAUUUAGUGCAGUCUGACUUAGAAAAUGUUCAUGAUAUAUGUCUUGUAAGAAAAUGCAUAGAAAGGAGGGGGAAGCAAACCACGUAGAUAACGUAUGUGCAACACUUCAUCUGCUGUUGGCAGCAUUAUGAAUCCUGGAUCUCGGUGGUCCUAGCUUUAUUUCAAUCAGAAACCGGGAGAUAAUAAAUAAAUUUCCUGUUAAAAUAUUUUGAGUUCU